rnacentral:SRP_RNA from 1 species
GCCUGGCAUGAUGGCACAUGCCUGUAAUCCUAGCUACUCGGGAGGCUGAGACAGGAGAAUCGCUUGAGCCCAGGAGGUCAAGGCUGCAGUGAGCUGUGAUAGCACCACUGCACUCCAGCAUGGACAACAGAGCGAGAUCCUAUCUCUA